CCCGCCACGACCCUGCGCGCGCCCCCGCUGGGGCCUGAUUAGCGUGCGGCCACGCAGAGAGCAAGAAAAGAAAGUCUCAGGAAACCAUUGCAGAGGGCGGGCCACGGUGGAAUGCCGAAUUACAUCUACAUAGCUAACAGGACAGCUUUUGGAGAAUGCUCCCCUGCCUGCUGUGCUCUGAGGACUGGAAGGAAGAGAGGCUGGUUUUAUCCUUGUAUCUCCGAAGAGCUGGGAGCAAGAGUGACAAUUUUGCGGCCAGGCUUGGUGGAGACAGCAAGAAUCAAGUGAGAAAACUCUUAUGGGGAAGUGAGCCAUGGAGACCGUCGAGCCGCCAGGUUUCCCCCUAAAUGUGGUCUUUGGAACACAGUUGUCCUCAAGCCCUGAGGGGCUUUCAGUUUUCACAUUGCAGGCAGAUUCUUUACCAUCUGAGCCACCAGGAAGCCCAUAUAUUUUAGGUUAAUAUAUUCUUUCAAAUGUAUCAAGUAUUGCAUAAUAAAAUUGUAUAUAACACAUA